GACUGAAGUCUCUCCCUCAACUAAUGAAAACUGUUCGUUAAUAUUUUUUUCAUUAAAAAAAUUAUUUCUAGGAAUCGAGAAUGGAUAACUAAAAGAGAAAACUCGCUGUUCGAUGCCAAGGAGAGUGUCCUGGAACUAGAGGAAGAACUACAAGAAAAAGACCGAAUAAUUGAAAAUCUGAAAGACGAGCUGAACGACAGAGAAAAAAUAAUUGAAGAUUUCAAAGAUGAAUUUAACAAAUUCAAUAGUACUGAAAAGGUUUCUGCAAGUACGAACGCAAACAAUGAUGUCCAGGAAGCCAGCCUCAGACCAUCCUGGUCAAGUGUUCGAUGGGCUGCACAAGUCAUGGUCAAGAACAUCAUCUACCUUCAAAAGCAUCUCUACUAGUUCAAACAACACACAAGAUUGAGUAGCAUUGAUCAGAAAACAAACUAAAUUCCCUCGCAAUGUCAUAAAAUUUAUCUUGCAUUAGUUUUAUAAUGUAUUUGUUAAUUUGUAACAAAUUAUAUUUAAGUAUAGAUUUAAAAAUCCAUCAUCUUCUGAAUAAUCAUGAGGUUAGUUCAUUAGCGAGUGUCACAUACUUGUAUUAGUGUCAUCUACAAUCAUGCGCACUAAGACACAGUUCCACUGACGUUUAAAGACAUGCGCAACACGGUUGAGCAUUGUUCAGUCAUGCGCAAUGGUUCUUAGAUCAUCUAUCGGCCAAUCUCGUACCCAGAGCCUGCGUUUCUUUCGGCCUGCGGCGAAGAACGAUG